CCUACGGGUGGCAGCAGUGAGGAAUAUUGGUCAAUGGACGAGAGUCUGAACCAGCCAAGUAGCGUGAAGGAUGACUGCCCUAGGGGUGGUAAACUUCUUUUACAUGGGAAUAAAAUGAUCCACGUGUGGGACUUUGUAUGUACCAUAUGAAUAAGGAACGGCUAACUCCGUGCCAGGAGCCGCGGUAAUACGGAGGAUCCGAGCGUUACCCGGAUUUAUUGGGUUUAAAGGGAGCGUAGGUGGAUUGUUAAGUCAGUGGUGAAAGUUUGCGGCUCAACCGUAAAAUUGCAGUUGAAACUGGCAGUCUUGAGUACAGUAGAGGUGAGCGGAAUUCGUGGUGUAGCGGUGAAAUGCUUAGAUAUCACGAAGAACUCCGAUUGCGAAGGCAGUUCACUGGACUGCAACUGACACUGAGGCUCGAAAGUGUGGGUAUCAAACAGGAUUAGAUACCCCAGUAGUC
rnacentral:rRNA from 1 species